AACUUCUUCCUUCUUAAUGUACUUCACGCUUCACUUUCCAGAAACCUGAUGGAAACAGAAGAGACAUUGGCCAUGGACACGUGUCUAGUUUAACCUGCGCUUCCGGAGCAAGGUUGACAGCAAUUACUACUCACAGCCUUUCAGCUUUGUCUCCAGACACGCAGCUCCCUCAUCUAUCUUUCAAAAGCACAGGUCUUAUCAUGUUACACCUCCCACCUCCUGUCUUAAAAAAUGUAAGUG